UUCGCGAAACUACGGAGCAUUCACCUAUACUCAUGUCCAAGGCUCAAAUUUGUGCUUCCAUUGCCAUGGGCUGCUCAAGGCUCAUAUUUUCCCAACUUGGAGACCCUUCAUAUUGUCAGUUGUGGUGAUCUCGACAAGGUAUUCCUUGUAGAGCCAGAGUUCCUGACAACAAUAUCCAUCGACCACCGAAAAGGCAUGCUGGAGUUCCCAAAGCUGAAGCACAUUUACCUGCAUGAGCUCUACAAGCUGCAACAUAUAUGCGAAGCCAAGAUGUAUGCUCCCAAACUUGAGACGGUAAGGGUCAGGGGAUGCUGGGGUCUCCGGUGCCUCCCUGCCAUCGGGCAAGACAUCCGUCCUAUUGUGGACUGCGAGAAGGAUUGGUGGGAAAAUCUGGAGCGGGACGGGCUGGAGGCCAGCCAUGACCGUUCCCUCUAUGAUCCCCGCCACUCAUCAUAUUACAAGAAGCCCCUGCCUAGAUUCUCGGUGCUCUGGUGA
rnacentral:rRNA from 1 species